rnacentral:lncRNA from 1 species
AUGGUCUCGUUUUACGUAAAGUCGAAAAAUUUAAGUGUGUUGAAUUUUACUUAUUUUUUGCUUGCUAUCCAAGAGAAUCUUCAAUAACCGGCGUCUUAAUGGAAAAGGUAGAAGGAAACUAUUCGUUGAGGCUUUAAAUCUAAGUUUAUCGCGGGAUUUUUAACGACAUUCACCGGUUUCGUAAAGCGGUCGUUUGUUUUGGCGCAAUGCGGAAGUGUCGUCUUGAUGCAGUUUUUUGGCUAAAAAGUUGACGAAUUCUUCGUCUCACAACGUCUGUCAUUUGUUUUACGUUUGCCAUCAGUUUUAGGCAGUAACUGUUAGCUGUCGAGAGUACUGGAACAGACUGUGAAGUAUUUCUAUAGAUCUAAAUAUGGUUCGUAAUAAAGGACAUUUUGUCUGGCAUUCGGAAUUCCUACACUAGUGAUCCAUGAGGACUUUAUCCAGUUUCCAGAAUGGCAGGAAGGAAGGACUUAUUGAAUUGGACCACUUGACAAGGCAGCUUACAAAAGUCAGAAAUUUAAAAGCAGCCACUGGGCGACAGUAAAUUAAAGCUUGUCUACAUUUUCCAUAAAAUUUCCAAAAUAAAUACUGGAAAAAACAACAACAUGGAAAUACAUACGACAUCAACACAAAAUAGCACAGCACCAGAAUGAAUGCGGAAGUUGUCAUGAGUGGUGUGGCAUUGUUCCUGUUCAUUUAUGGUUUACAGAUUCCAAAAGUCUGAACCAGAUAUAAGUAGAGUACAGUUUGAGAAAUGUCUUGGUAGAACAGAUACUAAGGAAAUAAUAAAGAGCAGAACAGACCACAUUUCUUCUUCUUAUAACUGGUAAAGUUCGAAGUAAGGGCAAGUACAAUAAUGCAGCCCCAGUGAGAGUUCGUGAUGAGGUGUCAACUGUAAAUGUGUGGUCGUUAAAUGAUGUGCAGUCAGAUUGACAAGUAUUUGAAGUAACAUUAAUUUAUAAAUUAUCAAUCCUGAGAGAAAUUGUUGCUGAGCUUUGUGCAGGAUACUCUUAAAAAAUACGUGAACCAGAAUUUUAUAUUAUAAGUACAAUGUCAGAUGUACUCCAGACUUCACACAUAUGUUGAUGUUUAUACAUAUGUGGUGAUUAAUUUGUCAAGUGAAGAAAUUUUAUGAAUAAUGUUAGUGGGUGACAGAACAGAAGUACAAAGUCAAUUACAGAGGUCGACAACACUGAGUUUAGGAUGCAGAAAAAAUCCGGUGAUUCUGACGAAACAACAUACAUAGAAAGAUUAUACUAGUAAAAUGAAAACUUUUAGUGUAUGGAAAAGUUUGGAAGAAGGUUUACCAUUGACAGAAGAGACAGUAUUUACAGACUGGUCUACACUUAUUUUGAUUUGACUUUUACACGGUGAUUCCUCCAGUAAACAGCUAGUGAUCUGAGAGAAUUGUGUUCAUUAUAUCAUACAGGUUUAGAGUGAAUGUAAAAUUGAUAUGUAUUUAAAUCAAUCAAAAUUUUUCAAAAUUGGAUGUUGAAACUUUACAACUGUUUAGUAUUUCAGUAAUCAGUUAGGAUUUUUGAGUGAUUUCAAUAAAGUACAAAU